AUGCUCCAUUCAGCAUCACGUACUCUAACAUUGGAACGAUACAGAGAAGGUUUGAAUCGCCCCUGCGCAAGGAUGACAGGGAAAUUCCUGUACAAUUCCAUACUUUU
ensembl:snRNA U6 U6 spliceosomal RNA